CCCAUCUGGAGGCGCGGAGAGCCUCCGCAGGAGUCCAUGAAACACUGAGCGAAGGGGCGCCCCAGGGAGGGCACGACCCAAGACCCCUCCCUCCCGAAGACGUCUCACGGGGAGCCUCUACACUGCUCCUCGCUUCCCCAGCUCUGAUCGUAGCCAUGGCAACGCAUGAGGAGGCUGGAUGCCGGACAGGGCGGCGGAGGGCUCCCCAAACACACCCAACUACAGGAGCAUUCGCGCUGAGGACGAAGCCCGAACGCCAACGCCAACGGGAUGUCCUGGGCGCUCAGCUGCCAUCAGCUGUGCUUCCUCAGGCCACCGGCCACGGCUCUAGGAGGCAGACCCCACCAUCACCCCCAUUCUGCAAAGAACGGAGCCGAGAAAGAGAGAGAAACGGCUGCCCACGGCCGGGAAGAGCAGGAAUUGGAACCAGGGUUUGGGUCCAGAGGAGGAGCUCUCACCACAGCGCUGCUGGAGGCCUGGGGCCCCCGGAACUGAGGAUAUAUCAUGAAUAAUUUCAAGCCCCUUGGGUUUAUCUAGGUACAGGGCCAUCCUGAAGACAGACGCCCCACUCUCUAGAAGCCAUUACUCAGUGGGGCAAAGGACGUGGGCUUUGAUGGGAGACACACAGGCGGCUGUGAGAGCCCAGCAGAAACAAUUCCGCUCCCACGGCUCCCGUCCAUGCCCUCCCACUGCUACCUCAGUGGCUGGCUCCCAUCUCCUUCAAACAUCGAAUAAAUGCCUCCCUCACUGGGGGAUACCACACUG